rnacentral:rRNA from 1 species
GAAUUCGCCCUUAGAGUUUGAUCCUGGCUCAGGACGAACGCUGGCGGCGCGCCUAACACAUGCAAGUCGAACGAGAAAUGAGGAGCUUGCUCUUCAAAUCGAGUGGCGAACGGGUGAGUAACGCGUGAGGAACCUGCCUCAAAGAGGGGGACAACAGUUGGAAACGACUGCUAAUACCGCAUAAGCCCACGGCUCGGCAUCGAGCAGGGGGAAAAGGAGCAAUCCGCUUUGAGAUGGCCUCGCGUCCGAUUAGCUAGUUGGUGAGGUAACGGCCCACCAAGGCGACGAUCGGUAGCCGGACUGAGAGGUUGAACGGCCACAUUGGGACUGAGACACGGCCCAGACUCCUACGGGAGGCAGCAGUGGGGAAUAUUGCACAAUGGGGGAAACCCUGAUGCAGCGACGCCGCGUGGAGGAAGAAGGUCUUCGGAUUGUAAACUCCUGUUGUUGAGGAAGAUAAUGACGGUACUCAACAAGGAAGUGACGGCUAACUACGUGCCAGCAGCCGCGGUAAAACGUAGGUCACAAGCGUUGUCCGGAAUUACUGGGUGUAAAGGGAGCGCAGGCGGGAGAACAAGUUGGAAGUGAAAUCCAUGGGCUCAACCCAUGAACUGCUUUCAAAACUGUUUUUCUUGAGUAGUGCAGAGGUAGGCGGAAUUCCCGGUGUAGCGGUGGAAUGCGUAGAUAUCGGGAGGAACACCAGUGGCGAAGGCGGCCUACUGGGCACCAACUGACGCUGAGGCUCGAAAGUGUGGGUAGCAAACAGGAUUAGAUACCCUGGUAGUCCACACCGUAAACGAUGAUUA